rnacentral:rRNA from 1 species
GAUGAACGCUGGCGGCGUGCCUAAUACAUGCAAGUCGAGCGAACGGACGAGAAGCUUGCUUUUCUGAUGUUAGCGGCGGACGGGUGAGUAACACGUGGAUAACCUACCUAUAAGACUGGGAUAACUUCGGGAAACCGGAGCUAAUACCGGAUAAUAUUUUGAACCGCAUGGUUCAAAAGUGAAAGACGGUCUUGCUGUCACUUAUAGAUGGAUCCGCGCUGCAUUAGCUAGUUGGUAAGGUAACGGCUUACCAAGGCAACGAUGCAUAGCCGACCUGAGAGGGUGAUCGGCCACACUGGAACUGAGACACGGUCCAGACUCCUACGGGAGGCAGCAGUAGGGAAUCUUCCGCAAUGGGCGAAAGCCUGACGGAGCAACGCCGCGUGAGUGAUGAAGGUCUUCGGAUCGUAAAACUCUGUUGUUAGGGAAGAACAUAUGUGUGAGUAACUGUGCACAUCUUGACGGUACCUAAUCAGAAAGCCACGGCUAACUACGUG